rnacentral:SRP_RNA from 10 species
UUUUUUUGAGACAGUGUUUUGCACUGUCACCCAGGUUGGAGUGCAAAGGUGUGAUCUCAACUCUUUACAACUUCUGCCUCCUAGGCUCAAGACAUCCUCCCACCUCAGCCUCUCAAGUAGCUGGGACUACAGAUGUGCACCACCAUGCUGCCCACUAAUUUUCGUAUUUUUUUUUUUUUUUUUUUGUAUAGACGGGGUUUCACCAUGUUGCCCAGGCUGGUCUCAAGCUCCUGGACUCAAGAGAUCUACCUUCCCAAAGGGCUGAGAUUACAGUUGGUUUUUGAGUCUCCAGCUUCACCUCUCAACUCCUGCCACUUUAUGGAACACCCUCAGUGCCCAGGGGUCUCUUGUCCUUGGUCCUGGUUCUCCCUGGGCUGCCUUGGUCUGCUUCCUCAACCAGGGUGAUGCAUUGAAUUGUGACACAUGGGGGUCAGUGAAAUUAACUAUCUUUCCCAUGAGAAAUAAUUUAUCAUUCAGCAUUUGCUAUUAAUGUGCCUCUGCUGCAAGUGAAUGAAGACGUAUAAAGUGUAUGGAAAUUGUAGAGCAGAUGAACACUGCAUAAAUAUCCUUUAAUGUUUAUGAUGAGUACAAUAAUUUUCUCAUCUGUAAAUGGGAGGGAUUUGGGCUGCAGAAAAAGAGACGUUGAUAAAUUUGGUUGCUGUAAAAAAAUGGCUGUAAUUUCUUCUAUAGAAGCUGUACCUCUUUGGGUCUAAUUUGAAUUUUGUUUUCUGCCUGUUUCAAGGAGGUCUUUUAAAACUUGUGAUUACUAUUGGAUAUGAUUGUGUCUGUAGAAAGACUUCCCAGCCUUCUUUAGAACUUAGGAGGUGCCUCUGUUCUCAGCAUAGGCAAUAUUAAUCUCAGCUCACAUUGUCUCUGGAUGGGAUUUCUGUUUGAGAAACAAGAACUAGAAUGGACAAGGUGAGCUUUAAUUAUUCAAAUUCAUCUAAAAAAUAUCUCCUGAAGGCUUAUUGAAAGCCAGAUACUGUGCUGGACAGUGAGCGAGGGAUACAAAAUUCAUGAGAAAGCCAGUGAUUCUCACUUAUCCAUCUUAGAAAGUGUACUUGAACCCAAGGGGGCAUGUACCAAAGUGUUCACUGAUGUAUUGUUAAUAAUAGUGAAAAUUCAGAAAUGACCUACAUGCCCAUCAUUAAGAGACUGGCAAAACCAAUUCUGAGAUAUUCAUACAAUGGAAAACCAUGCAUCAUUUGUAAAGAGGAAGGUAGAUCCACAAGUGGAAAGGUCUCCAAGACAUGAUGUUAGAGAAAAAAUAACUAUAUAAAGUGAUGCAUCCAGUAUGAUACUCUAUGUAAAUGCACAACACACACAAACACACAGUCACACAAAUACACACACUCUCUCUCUCUUUCUCUGUUAUUUAUUUUUUCCAUAAUCACUGUGAUGCAUAGCAAUGACCCUGGAACAAUACCCUCUGAUGUGGGUCCUCCCACUGCACAGUGGCAGGAAGUGUUAUUCACAUGGGUGAUGGGUUGUUUGGGACAGUCUGGCAGCCACAGCUGAUAGCCCCACACCAAUAUGAUGACUUUUGUUAACUUGGGGGCGUGAAGGGGGCCAGGAUUAAAGAUAGUCGCCAAAGGGAGUUUUAACUAUUAGCUACAAUGAUAUAAUUCUCAAAGGAGAUUAUAUUAAUGAAUUAAAUGUGUAUCAAAUAUUAAUUUUAAAAUGAGUAAUAUGUAAUUCCUGCAUUCUGGGUGCUAACAGUCCAGAGGAGAAAUAUGUACAUACUCAAGUAAUUCUGAUAUAAAACAUAGUGUGGCCAGUACUAGCCUUGAUAACCAUGUAUUAUGGCAAUAUGAAGGGGAGAG